UACGUAGGGGGCUAGCGUUGUCCGGAUUUAUUGGGCGUAAAGAGCGUGUAGGCGGCCAGGUAGGUCUGGUGUGAAAACUCGAGGCUUAACCUCGAGAUGUCAUCGGAAACCAUCUGGCUAGAGUCCGGAAGAGGAAAGUGGAAUUCCUGGUGUAGAGGUGAAAUUCGUAGAUAUCAAGCGGAACACCGGUGGCGAAGGCGGCCUUCUGGACAAUGACUGACGCUAAAACACGAAAGCGUGGGGAGCAAACAGG
rnacentral:rRNA from 1 species